rnacentral:rRNA from 1 species
UACGGAGGGUGCGAGCGUUGUCCGGAAUCACUGGGCGUAAAGGGCGCGUAGGCGGCUGGGGAAGUCGGCGGUGAAAGCCCGGAGCUCAACUCCGGGUCGGCCGUCGAGACUCCUCGGCUCGAGCUCACUAGAGGCAGAUGGAAUUCCCGGUGUAGCGGUGGAAUGCGUAGAGAUCCGGAAGAACACCGGUGGCGAAGGCGGUCUGCUGGGGUGAGGCUGACGCUGAUGCGCGACAGCGUGGGGAGCAAACAGG